GAGUUUGAUCAUGGCUCAGGACGAACGCUGGCGGCGCGCCUAACACAUGCAAGUCGAACGGAAAGAUUUUUCUACUCCGAGUUCUUUGCGGGUCUUUAAGGAGAGCGUCGAUCAAUGCGAAGCAUCGAAGAUGCGAGCAUUGAUCCAGGCUUUAUUUAGAAGACUAACACAAAGGUGGAGCAGAGAGCUGGGAGUAGGGAAAUCUUUUAGUGGCGAACGGGUGAGUAACGCGUGAGGAACCUGCCUCAAAGAGGGGACAACAGUUGGAAACGACUGCUAAUACCGCAUAAGCCCACGGGGCCGCAUGGCCCUGGAGGGAAAAGGAGCAAUCCGCUUUGAGAUGGCCUC
rnacentral:rRNA from 1 species